GGCGGUGUGCCUAAUACAUGCAAGUCGUACGCACUGGCCCAACUGAUUGAUGGUGCUUGCACCUGAUUGACGAUGGAUCACCAGUGAGUGGCGGACGGGUGAGUAACACGUAGGUAACCUGCCCCGGAGCGGGGGAUAACAUUUGGAAACAGAUGCUAAUACCGCAUAACAACAAAAGCCACAUGGCUUUUGUUUGAAAGAUGGCUUUGGCUAUCACUCUGGGAUGGACCUGCGGUGCAUUAGCUAGUUGGUAAGGUAACGGCUUACCAAGGCGAUGAUGCAUAGCCGAGUUGAGAGACUGAUCGGCCACAAUGGAACUGAGACACGGUCCAUACUCCUACGGGAGGCAGCAGUAGGGAAUCUUCCACAAUGGGCGCAAGCCUGAUGGAGCAACACCGCGUGAGUGAAGAAGGGUUUCGGCUCGUAAAGCUCUGUUGUUGGAGAAGAACGUGCGUGAGAGUAACUGUUCACGCAGUGACGGUAUCCAACCAGAAAGUCACGGCUAACUACGUGCCAGCAGCCGCGGUAAUACGUAGGUGGCAAGCGUUAUCCGGAUUUAUUGGGCGUAAAGCGAGCGCAGGCGGUUGCUUAGGUCUGAUGUGAAAGCCUUCGGCUUAACCGAAGAAGUGCAUCGGAAACCGGGCGACUUGAGUGCAGAAGAGGACAGUGGAACUCCAUGUGUAGCGGUGGAAUGCGUAGAUAUAUGGAAGAACACCAGUGGCGAAGGCGGCUGUCUGGUCUGCAACUGACGCUGAGGCUCGAAAGCAUGGGUAGCGAACAGGAUUAGAUACCCUGGUAGUCCAUGCCGUAAACGAUGAGUGCUAGGUGUUGGAGGGUUUCCGCCCUUCAGUGCCGGAGCUAACGCAUUAAGCACUCCGCCUGGGGAGUACGACCGCAAGGUUGAAACUCAAAGGAAUUGACGGGGGCCCGCACAAGCGGUGGAGCAUGUGGUUUAAUUCGAAGCUACGCGAAGAACCUUACCAGGUCUUGACAUCUUGCGCUAACCUUAGAGAUAAGGCGUUCCCUUCGGGGACGCAAUGACAGGUGGUGCAUGGUCGUCGUCAGCUCGUGUCGUGAGAUGUUGGGUUAAGUCCCGCAACGAGCGCAACCCUUGUUACUAGUUGCCAGCAUUAAGUUGGGCACUCUAGUGAGACUGCCGGUGACAAACCGGAGGAAGGUGGGGACGACGUCAGAUCAUCAUGCCCCUUAUGACCUGGGCUACACACGUGCUACAAUGGACGGUACAACGAGUCGCAAGCUCGCGAGAGUAAGCUAAUCUCUUAAAGCCGUUCUCAGUUCGGACUGUAGGCUGCAACUCGCCUACACGAAGUCGGAAUCGCUAGUAAUCGCGGAUCAGCAUGCCGCGGUGAAUACGUUCCCGGGCCUUGUACACACCGCCCGUCACACCAUGGGAGUUUGUAACGCCCAAAGUCGGUGGCCUAACCA
rnacentral:rRNA from 1 species